AACGAACGCUGGCGGCAUGCCUAACACAUGCAAGUCGAACGAGACCUUCGGGUCUAGUGGCGCACGGGUGCGUAACGCGUGGGAACCUGCCUUUAGGUUCGGAAUAAACUCAGAGAAAUUUGAGCUAAUACCGGAUAAUGUCUUCGGACCAAAGAUUUAUCGCCUUUAGAUGGACCCGCGUUGGAUUAGCUAGUUGGUGGGUAAAGGCCUACCAAGGCGACGAUCCAUAGCUGGUCUGAGAGGAUGAUCAGCCACACUGGGACUGAGACACGGCCCAGACUCCUACGGGAGGCAGCAGUGGGGAAUAUGGACAAUGGCGAAAGCCUGAGUCCCAGGCAAUGCCGCGUGAGUGAUGAAGG
rnacentral:rRNA from 1 species